rnacentral:misc_RNA from 1 species
UGGUGUGAUUAAUGCACUUCACACGUGGUCAGGGGCUUCAGAUUUAAUAACAAAUCUGUUUAUUGACUACAAUUUGCUGUACAAUUAGCAUUUCCUUGCUGGGUACACCAAUCAUCAUCUAUCCAUCGCCUUCACUGCUUCACAUGCUUCUAGGUCUUAAAUACGUAUGGCCUAUGAACCAUAAACUUCUGUGGUCACCAAAUUUACAACACUUGGAAUUUUGUUAAAACCUUCUAGGUUAACAAACGCAAGGGAUUAAUCUACUAUGAGUGACCAAAGUCCAUAUACAAUUGAAGAACGAUUAGUUGCAGCUGUUUGGAUGCAUGAUCGUGUUCUUAAUAAUAAAAAAAUACCCGAAAUUCGGCGAUUGUUCCAGGAACGUUUUGGAAAGCCUUCACCUACACCACGCAUCUUGAGAGAAUGGGAGAAAAAAGUAUUUGAAACUGGUAGUGUUCUUGAUGCACCUCGUUGUGGUCGACCAAGGACAAGAUUUGAACAUCUAACUGCAAUACAAGAGUCACUUAUUCGUUCGCCUUCAUUAUCAAUGAGGAAGCGUUCAGCAGAAUUACAAAUUCCAAAAAGUACUUUGAGAAAAAUUCUUAAGUUAGAUCUUCCACAGGAUUCAGUGGUUUAUGAAGUUCAAAACAUAGAUGAAGAUACAAAAGUGGAAGUAUGUCGAGUUAUGUUUCAGAAAUUUCCAUUUUUUGGAUGAGGCAUCAAACUAUAUGCAUAUUGCAGUGUGCAUGCAAUUAUGGUUUACCAUAUUUUUGUUAUUUUUCAUUGUUAAAACAAGUCUUCUUUUCUACUUCCAAGAAAGCCUAAAUUAAUUAUUUUUAUUUAUUUUGUUUAAUAAUAGUGAUUUUGAUUACUUUCUUUAUCUAAUUUAACUCAUUUUAUGCUUUCAUUUCACUGAUUCGCCAAAUACACAUCUUGGAACUGAAUAAAUACAAGGGCUUCUGCUUUCCUUCUCUUUGAUGCUACAUCUAUCAAUUAUGAAUAUUGACAAUCAUUUAGGUUUUUUUUAAACCUUUUGAAUAUUUGAUCUCGUUUAGAUAAAAGUUGCUUACUGGAGCUUUUGCAAUUCAAUCUUGGAGAAAGUAUGUCAAAAGAUGUCUUAUUGGCUUCAUAAGGAAAUAGAAACAGUAGUAGUAUAUAGGCAUGUAUAUGUGAAAGAAGAAGCUCAUUUGUAUUGUAACCUUGUUAAUCUAAAUAUAGAUUUUUACUUUGGAUUGUAAUUUUCCAUCAGAGCCAAAACAACUAAAUCAGCAUUAUUCUGCACAUAUUUUGCAUGAAUUAUUUAAUUAAUUUUUUUCUUUGUGUGUUUGUUUAUUUAUUUAUUUUAUAGCUUCUCUCAAGACCAGCUAAUUGUAAAUAAUAGUGUCCUACUCUAUGAGACUUCUUACACUUCUGUAAAACAAUAUCAUGAAAUCAUUGAUAAAUAAAGAAUACUGUUAAAAGUCCUCCAA